GCAAUUUGAUGUAUGUAACUCCUAAAAUUUACGAGUUAUGUUUGAAAAACCAUGUCUGAAAAUCGAUUGUUAUUGAUACUUUGAAAAUAAGCUAAGAAAUCGUGAAAAACUAUGAUAAACUUGUUUUGCGUAUGCUAUAGGAAAACAUAUUUUUCAAUUUUCAAGUGACGAGCUUAUUUUGCUUUCGACAAAUACAAAUGUCUACUUAUAUGCAUUUCGUAACAGAAAUAUAACCUUAAACAAGGUCCAAAGACACAAAAUUAAUAAUGGAAAUGAUAUGCCUUCACACCCUUUUGAAUGCUUCACAUACUAGUUUGAAGUCUGCAAAUAUAUAUAUGAGAAGCUGAUGCCUAUUCGAGACUAGCAAAGCAUGUAACUAGAUUGCUCAAUUGGGUAUUGUAAUAUAAGUACCGUGGACGCAAAACUAAGGCCUCCUUGAAAGUGUGCAGAUCGUCGCCGAUGAUGCCGCCAGUGCCGCCUGUGGCACCUACUGUCGCCGCCUGACCGCUGGCGCCGUUUAGCAAAUGCGUUGGCUGUCCGCCGGCGGUUGUGGGUGGCAUCAUGGUCAGUCCGUUGCUGGCAAAGCCUAUCGCCGAGCCAGUGACACUAUUGGGGCUGCCGUUGACUUGAUGAUGAUGUACUCCGCCGCCAUGAUGAUGUUCCG